rnacentral:rRNA from 1 species
CUUGAGGGGCGUAGGAGACUACUACGUUGAUAGGCUGCAGAUGUAAAGGUAGUAAUAUCAAAGUCGAGCAGUACUAAUUACCCGAUAGGCUUUCUUCG